rnacentral:lncRNA from 1 species
AUCCUCUUCUGUCUCCCGUGUAGACCUCUUAGCCUUUUGAGCUUUGGUGCGGGUAUAGAGCUUCCCUGCCGCACUCUAGGGAACCCCAGCUUGUGGCAAAGGUUGAGGGUGGCACUUGUCUAGGUAGUCGAGGAUAUGCCGUGGCAUGUACACUCUCGCAUACCAUUGCGGCCUUUGUCUCACUGAUCAGUGCACACUUUGGCUGGUGUACUGGUACACUGGCACAUUGCACAAGUUUCUUCUUUUUUUUUUUUUCUGGCAGCCACAAUUGCUUUUGUCCUUUAUAAUGUUAAGACAUUACAGCAAGGUUGGAACUUGAAAAUAGUGUUUCCAAUUUCAUCCAUUGCACUGGGGAUUCGGCAUAGUUCAAUCACCAUUGUUACACUGCCAGGCAUGGUCUGUUCAGUCCUCUGUUUAUUAGGUCAACACGGAUAUCUUGUUUUGCUCAAUAUUAAAAUUUGGAAGGGCCUAAAAUAGUGUUGGAAGACACUGCUUGAAGCUGAACAAGAUUGAACAUGUGAAGCACAAAGUUUGCUUCACCAUGUAGCACACAAAUCAUGGCUAUAUGGAGCCCGCGACAGUCACCACUGUUAUAGCAUUCUGACGCCAUGCUGAACGUUAGUUACCUUGAGGUUAGUUCCUCAAGGUUAGUCAAAAUCCCUGACCACAGUGAGUGUGCUCGUGGCAUCUGCUACAAGGAUGCCACGAGCGAAAGGGUGUAUGACAGUAGAGCAUUCUGGAAGCUCACAUUUCUAAGGUUUUCUCAUUUUCUUGCCACAAGAAAUCACACAGCCCGCUCUUUUUAUUAUGCUAUUCUGCUUGCAUGCCGCUGGUUGUUCUCUGCAGGCUAUGUCGAGAUUAUGUUCACCGAUGUCUAGCAGACUGGAUGUCUGUGGCAUGCUCUGUAUUUCGCACACUGCACUUCGCCAGCACAUGUGUAGCACUGCAUUUUCUCCAGAAAUGCAUGCGUGACUCUUGUAGGCCUGUAUUUAUUUAAAGUGGUGUGUACACUGUUGCCCUGUAAGGUAGGUUGGCCUCAUAUGUACUCAUGUGUAGAAUGUGCUGGGCAUUGUAUUCGACAUGUAGGUGAGUUAAAUGUCUGUACGUGUUUGUACAAAGCAGCUGUUGCUACUGCCCUACUUUUGAAAAGGAUUAGCCACAUUCAAACUUUCAUUUACUUGCAGCAGUGAAGAAUUGACACAAUGAUUGUAGUCCAUGGGGUCUUUAAUUCAGUGCAGACAUGAGCAGACUGUGUAGAGUAUUGAAAUUCAGGUCUCAGUGCUUCAUGAAUUUACAGAAAACUGAGUAAAGGACAAGGGUUCCAUUUGGAAAAGUCACUUCUCUAUAUGAAUUUAGAUUUGCCAGUGUAUUUUCUAGAUAGUAUGUACUGUAGUAAUACAUUUAAACCAUACAUUUUAAACCAUCAGCUAGAUUUGAAUCCAUUAUGGCAUGGUAAUUAGUGACAUUAAACCUUUGUGAUGUCAUUUCUGAGUAUUUAUAGGAGCUACAAGAUACAAAACAGUGUACUUACCAAAGGGUAUGUCAGCAUUUAAGACAAAAUGAGUUACAUCUGCUAGCUUUUCCUUGGUCUCUUUACUUUACUUGUUGGACAAAUAAGAUCUUUUUCCGGUGAUAUCACACGGUGCCAAGCACACUACUUUCCAUGUGGGCUUGAAAAAUUAAAGCACCUGUAGUGUACACCAAUAUCUGGUUUAAUAUAACACCGUGAGCACAGCUUUGCUAUUGUGGCUCUUAACAAUCUGCUACUGAGUGCAUCUGUUUAAACUCCCAGCUGCCAUGCUUACAUUUCACCGGGGCUAUAGAUCUUAAUCACCUCAGAUUUGGUAUGCAAAUUUAAUGCAUAGCCCUCUCCA